UACAGAGGGGGCAAGCGUUGUUCGGAAUUACUGGGCGUAAAGGGCGCGUAGGCGGCCCGCUAAGUCGAACGUGAAAUCCCCGGGCUCAACCCGGGAACUGCGUCCGAUACUGGUUGGCUUGAAUCCGGGAGAGGGGAUGUGGAAUUCCAGGUGUAGCGGUGAAAUGCGUAGAUAUCUGGAGGAACACCGGUGGCGAAGGCGACAUCCUGGGACCGGGCAUUGACGCUGAGGCG
rnacentral:rRNA from 1 species